ACCGGCUUCCUUCUCUCCAUGCAGCUCCUUCCGGGAUGCUGGGGUCUCCACGCCGUGAUGCUGUGUGCAGUGCUAUUGUCCAGUGGAUCCCACUCCUGGGGUUCAGUGUGGUACCUGGGUGUGCUGGGGACUUUGAACCAGAAGGAACCGGAAGGCCACAGGAGAGAGGCGUGGAAGCUGGGGUUUCUCUCCCCAAGGAGCUCCUGACCCUGCAUGUCAUCUCCUCAAUCGAUUCUCCCGAGUCCGACGUGUUCCUGGGGUUUCUGUCUCUUUAAAAGCCAAUCAGCAGCCUCCUUCCUUCCCACUGAGUUCCGCCCUAAACAGUGUCAAAUGCCUUGAAGUUGUCGUUGAAUAAGACAUCUUCAUUGCAAAAACUCAGAAGACACAGAAACACAGGAGGAAACGCCCAUUGCUUUAACACCCGGCAGACUGGGCCACCACCCCCGGCUGCUCCGACUCCUUAGGGGGAUGGGCAGAGUUCAGUGAGCAGGACCCAGGUCCAGGAGGCCACCGCUCCACUCCGCCAAGGCCAAGGGGGUAGAAACGGGGACAAGGGCAGAGCUACGCCAGCCACUGCCAGAACCUGGGUGUCCGCAGUCAGGGCUUCAGAAGCUGUCCAGGAACUGACAGAGAGCAGGGCCCACAUAUCCCUGCGGCACCCAGAGGCCAGGCUCGAAUCACAAAGCACCGACUCCAUCAGUCAGCAAGUCACCGGCCUAUUCUUACAAGGGACCGGUCCCAUCUCCUUGUUACCACACAGAGGCGCGAUUUUGUGCACAACGUCCCUCAUUUUCCCUUCGGACCUUCAGGAGGCUGCAGAUGUUAAGCCCACAAGAAGCUGGAAGAGGUGUGGAGCCCAAGGCAGGGGGAGAUGCUGGAAUCUGCAGGAGCGCAGCCGCCUUGCUCAGGGCCCUGGCUGGACACCGCAGAAGUCGUGAAAAGCACAGGGUGCCCACCAAAGCCCGGGUCCCCCAGAGAAUUUAGGAGUUGGGAGGUGAAGAGGCACCCAAGGGUGCGAGAGAGGAGAGCUGGGCAGCACCUCACAGGGCCACUCGGGGAAGAAGAGGAGGGACCGGACAUCCGUAGUAUGGCCGGGAGGGAGGUAGAGGAUGGUUCAGUUACACGCCACGGGCAAGAGCCAGACAGACUGCAGGGUGGGGAAUAAACACAGGCAUCUCUGGGGAGGGUGGCUGUGGGUGACGGAGCGGCAGAUCCCAUGGUCCUGGCUGUCCCCAGGGCAGCUCCUCCUGCUGAGGGCAGGCACCGCACUGCUCCUGCCACCCCAGGGGUACUGAGUCCUGGGCCCAGGCUCACUGUGAGGGGAGAUCGAGUAUCCACCGGACCCUUGGUAUCUACGCUCAGAUGGAAGCACUCAGACCCCUCCAACAAAGGCUUCCUGGGGCUCAGGGUGGGUACAGAGAGGAGGGUGAUGGUUACCAUGUCACCCAGGGCAGGGCUUCCAGACACAGACAUGCCCCUACUGUAACAGCAGGUGUGGGCAGUGCCCUUUCCUCGGCUGUGCCGGUGACUGGCCUGGCCCUGUGGUGUCCACUGAGGGUCCCAGCUGUGGCCUAGGCAUCCUUCAGACGUGGCCUUGUGUCUUCUCCGUGAGAUGUGGAGGGAAUGUGGCUCUGCUGCACUUAGGGUGCUGACCACAAGCCCGGUACAGGCUGGCCGCACUGCUCAGCCGAUAAAAUGAAGACUGAAGCAGUUAAUUCCACAGCCCACUGCCAGCCUGAGAGCUCUGAU